rnacentral:misc_RNA from 1 species
CUGAGUUCAUGCCCUUACGGGUAGAUCUCCCACCCUUGAAUAUCCAAACCUUUGUUGCUUUGGCGGGCCGCUUCGGCUACCGGCUCCGGUUGGUGAGUGCCCGCCAGAGAACCUUAAACUCUGAAUUACAGUGUCGUCUGAGUACUAUAAAAUAGUUA